rfam:Arabis alpina cultivar Pajares chromosome 8, whole genome shotgun sequence.
AACCCGUGGUGAGGGCAAUCCCUCUGAUAACCCUUAAAACGCUCCCACGAAGCUUUGAAUGCUUUGAUUGGUCCUUGCAUAAAAGAAGAGAUCUUCGCUGUC